GGGUGCAAACCCCUGCUCCCCCGAGCCAGGGCUCACACCGGCUGGGUGAACACAGCCCGACGUGACCGUAAGGCUGGGCCGGAGCCUUGGCAACAGGGGAACAGCUCGAGAAACAGCGGCCCCGAGAGCUGGCUGCCGGCAGAAGCAGCAGCAGAAGCAGAGCACUCAGGAAAGGAGAAACCGAGACGUGUCGAUCGAUGCUGGAGAGCCACACUGUAACCAGAGAAAGGACAGGAGGCCACCAAGCAGUCGCUGACCUGGACCAGGGACGCUCCAGAAGUCACCCAGGAGUGGAAAAAUAUCGACGGUAACCUGGGCAUCGUGGAGCAGAACAGAAGGGAGAUAUGUUCAAGCCGGGUGGCAAGGGUAAGAGCAGUCUUUGCAAGGGAAGCCUCAGUGAUGGCGUGCCCCUGACAGUCAGGUUGGACGCGGUCGCUAAGGUGGCCAGGACCCCGGAGUCAUUCACAUGCGGGCUGCAGCGUGGGCCGGCUUCAAGUGCACACACGUUACGAGCUCUAAAGUCACAGCAAAUUUGAUUCUGUUUCUGCUCCCACCUGGUUAUUUUUUAAAGCAGGAACGCUGAGACCAGAGUGAUUGCUUCAAAAUCUGGGUCACCUGGGGACGAUGUCACUCCUGCCCGCCUCCACGGCCGCCGUCAGGACCCUCGCCCUGGGCGGGUGCUCAGGAAGCAUCUGCGGUGCCGGAGGCGAAGGCAGAGUCGGGACCGGCGGCGAGAGGAGACAUGGGUGAACAGGCCCAUGGGAUGAGGCAGGGGCCAGUCAGGAGCAGCCAGGCUACCCUGAAACAAACAGCCCCACACGUCAGAGGACCAAGACAAGGUUAUUUCUCAUUCCUGCUGCCUCCUCAAGGGUGUGAGGUGUACACUAAAACAUACAAAAAUAAACACAAACAAUGA